rnacentral:rRNA from 1 species
AUUGAACGCUGGCGGCAUGCUUUACACAUGCAAGUCGAACGGUAACAGGCCGCAAGGUGCUGACGAGUGGCGAACGGGUGAGUAAUGCAUCGGAACGUGCCCAGUCGUGGGGGAUAACUACUCGAAAGAGUAGCUAAUACCGCAUACGAUCUAUGGAUGAAAGCGGGGGACCGUAAGGCCUCGCGCGAUUGGAGCGGCCGAUGUCAGAUUAGGUAGUUGGUGGGGUAAAGGCUCACCAAGCCAACGAUCUGUAGCUGGUCUGAGAGGACGACCAGCCACACUGGGACUGAGACACGGCCCAGACGCCUACGGGAGGCAGCAGUGGGGAAUUUUGGACAAUGGGCGCAAGCCUGAUCCAGCAAUGCCGCGUGCAGGAAGAAGGCCUUCGGGUUGUAAACUGCUUUUGUACGGAACGAAACGGCUCUGGUUAAUACCCGGGGCUAAUGACGGUACCGUAAGAAUAAGCACCGGCUAACUACGU